AUUGAACGCUGGCGGCAUGGCUAAAACAUGCAAGUCGAGCGCGAAAGUGGAGCAACCCAUGAGUAGAGCGGCGAAAGGGUGAGUAAUGCGUUCCUACGUACCUCAAGGUCAGGGAUAGCCAGGGGAACUCUGGGUAAUACCUGAUGUGAUCGAGAGAUCAAAGGCUUGCCGCCUUGAGAGCGGGGAACGUCCUAUCAGGUAGUUGGUGAGGUAACGGCUCACCAAGCCAUUGACGGGUAGCGGGUGUGAGAGCAUGGCCCGCCACAUCGAAACUGAGACACUGUUCGGACUCCUACGGGAGGCUGCAGUAACGAAUCUUCCGCAAUGCGCGAAAGCGUGACGAGCAAUGCCGCGUGCAGGAUGAAGCCCCUCGGGUGUAAACUG
rnacentral:rRNA from 1 species